GACGAACGCUGGCGGCGUGCUUAACACAUGCAAGUCGAACGGUAAGGCCUUCGGGUACACGAGUGGCGAACGGGUGAGUAACACGUGGGUGAUCUGCCCUGCACUUUGGGAUAAGCCUGGGAAACUGGGUCUAAUACCGAAUAGGACUACGGCCUGCAUGGGUUGUGGUGGAAAGCUUUUGCGGUGUGGGAUGGGCCCGCGGCCUAUCAGCUUGUUGGUGAGGUCACGGCUCACCAAGGCGACGACGGGUAGCCGGCCUGAGAGGGUGACCGGCCACACUGGGACUGAGAUACGGCCCAGACUCCUACGGGAGGCAGCAGUGGGGAAUAUUGCACAAUGGGCGCAAGCCUGAUGCAGCGACGCCGCGUGAGGGAUGACGGCCUUCGGGUUGUAAACCUCUUUCAGUAGGGACGAAGCGCAAGUGACGGUACCUAUAGAAGAAGGACCGGCCAACUACGUGCCAGCCGCCGCAGUAA
rnacentral:rRNA from 1 species